rnacentral:rRNA from 1 species
AAUGAACGCUGGCGGCGCGCCUAAUACAUGCAAGUCGAGCGAGAAGACGUAGCAAUACGUUUGUAAAGCGGCGAACGGGUGAGGAAUACAUGGGUAACCUACCCUCGAGUGGGGAAUAACUAGCCGAAAGGUUAGCUAAUACCGCGUACGCUCCUUGGACUUCGGUUCAGGGAGGAAAGCGAUACCGUGGGUAUCGCGCUCUUGGUUGGGCUCAUGUCCUAUCAGCUUGUUGGUGAGGAACGGCUCACCAAGGCUUCGACGGGUAGCUGGUCUGAGAGGACGAUCAGCCACACUGGCACUGCGACACGGGCCAGACUCCUACGGGAGGCAGCAGUAAGGAAUAUUGCGCAAUGGGCGAAAGCCUGACGCAGCGACGCCGC